UACGUAGGGUGCGAGCGUUGUCCGGAAUUAUUGGGCGUAAAGGGUUCGUAGGCGGUCUGUUGCGUCGGGAGUGAAAACUCAGGGCUUAACCCUGAGCCUGCUUCCGAUACGGGCAGACUAGAGGUAUGCAGGGGAGAACGGAAUUCCUGGUGUAGCGGUGAAAUGCGCAGAUAUCAGGAGGAACACCGGUGGCGAAGGCGGUUCUCUGGGCAUUACCUGACGCUGAGGAGCGAAAGUGUGGGGAGCGAACAGG
rnacentral:rRNA from 1 species